rnacentral:rRNA from 1 species
UCUGACCUCAAACCAGGUAGGACUACCCGCUGAACUUAAGCAUAUCAAUAAGCGGAGGA